GUAAUUUCUAUCUCUUACGGCUCAGACUCCUUGUCUCCAAAGAAGAUAAGGCAGGUCGUUCGGAAGGUAAGCUUUUCUCAUCCAGAUGCUCAUUUAGACCCGAACUUUAUUUUGAAGAAAACCCAGCAUGAGUCGAGGCGCCAAAGAUAGAGUGGUGGCUCUGGAGAUCCGGUGGCCGGGUUAACUCAUGAACCUUCUAAUCACAAGCGGCGUAACGAGGAGUCGCCACCGUCCUCAAGAGAGUCAUCCUCUACACAGUUGCCAGCCUUGGUUAUAAACCCAGGAGUCAAAGCCAAAGCCAAGAAAAGGAAAGUGGGCGAGUCAUCAAUAAACCCCGACAUCCCUAAGUCUGAUGAACAAAUCUUGGUGACCCCUGAGGUGAACACUGCGAACCCUGAAGACCAGCAUGAUAACCAGGAUGACCUGCCCCCACAGUCUGACCCGGCAACCACCGAAGCUAUGGAUAUCAAUGCUAACCCGAUAGAUGAGCUGAACCCGCCAAGUCCGACUCUUGCUUCCA